CCUACGGGUGGCAGCAGUGGGGAAUCUUCCGCAAUGGGCGAAAGCCUGACGGAGCAACGCCGCGUGAUCGAAUGAAGGCCUUCGGGUUGUAAAGAUCUGUUGACAGGGACGAAUAGGCAAUGCGAAUAGUUUUGUGUAUGACGGUACCUGUUUAGAAAGCUCCGGCUAACUACGUGCCAGCAGCCGCGGUAAUACGUAGGGAGCAAGCGUUGUCCGGAAUUACUGGGCGUAAAGGGCGCGUAGGUGGGCGCUUAAGUCAGGUGUGAAAACUCCGGGCUCAACCUGGAGACUGCACUUGAAAAUUGGUGUUGUGAGGGCAAGAGAGGAAAGGGGAAUUACCAGUGUAGCGGGGGAA
rnacentral:rRNA from 1 species